rnacentral:rRNA from 1 species
GCCUAACACAUGCAAGUCGAACGAACUCUUCGGAGUUAGUGGCGCACGGGUGCGUAACGCGUGGGAAUCUGCCCCUUGGUUCGGAAUAACAGUUAGAAAUGACUGCUAAUACCGGAUGAUGUCUUCGGACCAAAGAUUUAUCGCCAAGGGAUGAGCCCGCGUAGGAUUAGGUAGUUGGUGGGGUAAAGGCCUACCAAGCCGACGAUCCUUAGCUGGUCUGAGAGGAUGAUCAGCCACACUGGGACUGAGACACGGCCCAGACUCCUACGGGAGGCAGCAGUGGGGAAUAUUGGACAAUGGGCGAAAGCCUGAUCCAGCAAUGCCGCGUGAGUGAUGAAGGCCUUAGGGUCGUAAAGCUCUUUUACCAGGGAUGAUAAUGACAGUACCUGGAGAAUAAGCUCCGGCUAACUCCGUGCCAGCAGCCGCGGUAAUACGGAGGGAGCUAGCGUUGUUCGGAAUUACUGGGCGUAAAGCGCACGUAGGCGGUUAUUCAAGUCAGAGGUGAAAGCCCGGGGCUCAACCCCGGAACUGCCUUUGAAACUAGAU